rnacentral:rRNA from 1 species
AACCAAGAAGCUUGCUUCUUGGGGUUGUAGGACACUCUAUACGGAGUUACAAAAGAAAGUUAUAAAUGAAGCGGUCUGGAAAGGCCCGCCAAAGACGGUAACAGCCCGGUAGUUGAAAUAGCUUUCCCUCCAGAGUGGAUCCUGAGUACGGCGGAACACGUGAAAUUCCGUCGGAAUCCGGGAGGACCAUCUCCCAAGGCUAAAUACUCCCUAGUGACCGAUAGUGAACCAGUACCGUGAGGGAAAGGUGAAAAGCACCCCGGAAGGGGAGUGAAACAGUUCCUGAAACCGUGUGCCUACAAGUAGUUAGAGCCCGUUAAUGGGUGAUAGCGUGCCUUUUGUAGAAUGAACCGGCGAGUUACGAUUUGUUGCAAGGUUAAGCGGAAAAAGCGGAGCCGUAGCGAAAGCGAGUCUGAAUAGGGCGCAUAAGUAACAGGUCGUAGACCCGAAACCAGGUGAUCUACCCAUGUCCAGGAUGAAGGUAAGGUAAUACUUACUGGAGGUCCGAACCCACGCACGUUGAAAAGUGCGGGGAUGAGGUGUGGGUAGCGGAGAAAUUCCAAUCGAACUUGGAGAUAGCUGGUUCUCUCCGAAAUAGCUUUAGGGCUAGCCUCGAGGUAAAGAGUCAUGGAGGUAGAGCACUGUUUGGACUAGGGGCCCUUCUCGGGUUACCGAAUUCAGAUAAACUCCGAAUGCCAUGUACUUAUACUCGGGAGUCAGACUGCGAGUGAUAAGAUCCGUAGUCGAAAGGGAAACAGCCCAGACCACCAGUUAAGGUCCCCAAAUAUAUGUUAAGUGGAAAAGGAUGUGGGGUUGCUUAGACAACCAGGAUGUUGGCUUAGAAGCAGCCACCAUUGAAAGAGUGCGUAAUAGCUCACUGGUCGAGUGACCCCGCGCCGAAAAUGUACCGGGGCUAAACAUAUUACCGAAACUGUGGAUGAACCUCUUUAGAGGUUCGUGGUAGGAGAGCGUUCUAAGGGCGGUGAAGUCAGACCGGAAGGACUGGUGGAGCGCUUAGAAGUGAGAAUGCCGGUAUGAGUAGCGAAAGAAGGGUGAGAAUCCCUUCCACCGAAUAUCUAAGGUUUCCUGAGGAAGGCUCGUCCGCUC